rnacentral:rRNA from 1 species
UACGUAGGGUGCAAGCGUUAAUCGGAAUUACUGGGCGUAAAGCGUGCGCAGGCGGUUUUGUAAGUCUGACGUGAAAUCCCCGGGCUCAACCUGGGAAUUGCGUUGGAGACUGCAAGGCUAGAAUCUGGCAGAGGGGGGUAGAAUUCCACGUGUAGCAGUGAAAUGCGUAGAGAUGUGGAGGAACACCGAUGGCGAAGGCAGCCCCCUGGGUCAAGAUUGACGCUCAUGCACGAAAGCUAGGGGAGCAAACAGG